CCUGUUCGGCACACAGGAAAAAUGAGGUCGCACCAACAAACUGAAGGAUGGUAAAUGUUGAGGAUUUUAUUGCCAAUGAAAGCGGCUGUCACUGGGAGCUGAAAAGGUAAUGGAAAGCUGAAAAGCGGAUAAGGGAGAUGUUUCCUAUUAUCCUUGAUAAUGUGCCAUGAACAUAUGAAAAAACAUAGAAACAUGAAGAAAACAAGAAGACAAAAAUCACUAACAUCUGGUUGGCUGUAUAGAAACAAAGCUGAUUCUGGUCUCGCUCUAUACCCCAGGUUGGAGUGCAGUGGUAAGAUCACAGCUCACUGCUGCCUUGACUUCCUGGGCUCAAGUGAUUCUCCUGCCUCAGUCUCCUCAGUAGCUCGGACUACAGCUUGCAAAUGGAUCUUACAGACGUUGUCACAGAGACAAGAAAAGUAAGGCAUAUAAAAAAAUAAAUAAAGAUGAGCUCCUUUCAAGGUGACUGACUAGAAGCAGCUGGUGUGUGCUGCUCUCACAAAGAGAAGAAAGAGUGGUGAGUGGACCAUCCAGGUGGACACAUUGGGAUUCAUCAAGGAAACAAUACACAGAAAACAGAAGAAUGAGACAGGACAAUCAUUCACCCAGAAGUGGCAUAGAGCCGGGAGAUGGCCCUCACCAUGGUUAGUAAGUGAGAGUCCCCAGGGAGUCACAUUUCUGCCACAGACCUUUGCAACCCUGGGCCCAGGCGAUCCCCCAUGACACCCGUGCCCCACCAGGGCCUCUGGACUGACAUAGACAGCUACAUGGAGUGUGGGCAGAACUGCCACUCAGGCACUCAUGAAAUCCUUGGAGCUUUUCAUCCCCAGGCACCCUGGUACCAAUGGCUGCAGCUGCGGCAAUGGGGGAGGACAGGCUCUCUUGCAUGUCCUCAGAAUAGGAACACAAUCCAUGGGGCUAAGCAGUGGGUGGACUGUGGGGCUCUUCUACACAGCCCGUUGCCAGACUGGCCUGGGAUCCUAGCAUGGUCACAAAAGUCCCACCUGGGCUCUUGAGGAACAGAUCUGUACUUCCCUGGCAUGGAACUCCUGGAGGGGAUGGGCAGGCUGCUGUUUUUGCUGCUCCACAGCCCUCACUCCUGUUGCCCUCAGUCUUGGGAGUGAGCACAGUGAUUGGGGACUAACAUAGACCCCCAGCACAGUGUACAGACUUGCAGAAAAGCAGCCAGACUCUUUUCCACAUGGGUCCUCACCCCUGCUACUCUUCACUGGGCAGCACCUCUUGACCUUGGCCCCCAGCACAACCAACCCGCCCCCACAUGAACGCUUUGUCAGUGAUGGCUCUGUGUUUCUCUGAGGAGAAAAAUCCAAAAGACAA
ensembl:lncRNA LINC02334 long intergenic non-protein coding RNA 2334